CACUCCUACGGGAGGCAGCAGUGGGGAAUAUUGCACAAUGGGCGCAAGCCUGAUGCAGCCAUGCCGCGUGUAUGAAGAAGGCCUUCGGGUUGUAAAGUACUUUCAGCGGGGAGGAAGGCGAUAAGGUUAAUAACCUUGUUGAUUGACGUUACCCGCAGAAGAAGCACCGGCUAACUCCGUGCCAGCAGCCGCGGUAAUACGGAGGGUGCAAGCGUUAAUCGGAAUUACUGGGCGUAAAGCGCACGCAGGCGGUCUGUCAAGUCGGAUGUGAAAUCCCCGGGCUCAACCUGGGAACUGCAUUCGAAACUGGCAGGCUAGAGUCUUGUAGAGGGGGGUAGAAUUCCAGGUGUAGCGGUGAAAUGCGUAGAGAUCUGGAGGAAUACCGGUGGCGAAGGCGGCCCCCUGGACAAAGACUGACGCUCAGGUGCGAAAGCGUGGGGAGCAAACAGGAUUAGAAACCCGUGUAGUCCCAUG
rnacentral:rRNA from 1 species